CCAGCCAGGGACUUGCUGACUUGCUCUAGGUUUGGACUUUGAUCUGCAGGGACUGCCCCCUUUGGAGGAAGUCCUGAAGGCAUCCUGUGUCCAGAAACAAUUUCUGCCUCUUACCUUGCCUGGUACCUGCCUAUCUUAUCAAUAAACCCCACCUUGAAGUAUUGAUUGUUUUUUAUUAUCUUUCCUAGGAAAUUAUUGCCAUUAAAGAGGCCUACCAAAGGUGUAAGUGACCUUUUGUUCUGACUUUAGAUAAAGAAUGCCUCUUGCAAACUACCUCUGGGAAACUAAAACUCUGCUUCCUCUCCUUUCUUCUUCCGCUAAAGUGUUUGGCAAGAGCCUUGAAUCAGAUGUCAAAGGUGAUACAAGUGGAAGCCUAAAAACAAUUCUGGUCUCCCUGCUAC
rnacentral:lncRNA from 1 species